UGGAGUCGGGCGGGUUACCGCGCCGCGCUCUUGCUUGUUCGGCAUCCUUUUGCAUUUGAGGUUUUUUCCAUGUUCUGUGCUGGAACUGCUGUAAGAACAGCUGCAAGAAUACAGCCUACUGCUUCCGUCAGCGAGAGGAGGGGCAGCUCAUCAGGAGGCAAACACCACACCAAUCAAGUUAGGAAAUCUUUUCUUAGGAGAGCCAUGCCUCUGUUGCACACUUGGCCCACUAGUACUGCUGAGGGUGAUGCCACAGGA
rnacentral:lncRNA from 1 species